rnacentral:rRNA from 1 species
UACGUAGGGGGCAAGCGUUGUCCGGAAUCAUUGGGCGUAAAGAGCGUGUAGGCGGCCCGAUAAGUCCGCUGUGAAAGUCCAGGGCUCAACCCUGGAAUGCCGGUGGAUACUGUCGGGCUCGAAUCCGGAAGAGGUGAGUGGAAUUCCUGGUGUAGCGGUGAAAUGCGCAGAUAUCAGGAGGAACACCAAUGGCGAAGGCAGCUUACUUCACGAUUAUUGACACUGAGGCACGAAAGCGUGGGGAGCAAACAGG